rnacentral:rRNA from 1 species
AGAGUUUGAUCCUGGCUCAGGACGAACGUUGGCGGCGUGCUUAACACAUGCAAGUCGAGCGGUUGAGAGGUGGGAGUUGAGAAGUUAGAAGUGGGAGAAAGGACGGGUGAGUAACGCGUGGAUAAUCUGCCUGUAAGACAGGGAUAACGCCGGGAAACCGGUGCUAAUACCCGAUAACCUCUUUGGACCGCAUGGUCUGAAGAGAAAAGGUGGCCUCUACUUACAGAUGAAUCCGCGUCUGAUUAGCUAGUUGGCGGGGUAAGGGCCCACCAAGGCAACGAUCAGUAGCCGACCUGAGAGGGUGAUCGGCCACACUGGGACUGAGACACGGUCCAGACUCCUACGGGAGGCAGCAGUGGGGAAUAUUGGGCAAUGGGGGAAACCCUGACCCAGCAACGCCGCGUGAGGGAAGAAGGUCUUCGGAUCGUAAACCUCUGUCCUUAGGGAAGAAAAAAAUGACGGUACCCUAAGAGGAAGCCACGGCUAACUACGUGCCAGCAGCCGCGGUAAUACGUAGGUGGCAAGCGUUAUCCGGAAUUAUUGGGCGUAAAGGGUGCGUAGGCGGUUUAUUAAGUUCUAUGGUGAAAGUGCGGGGCUCAACCCCGUAUGGCCAUAGAAACUGAUAGACUUGAGUGCAGGAGAGGGCAAUGGAAUUCCAUGUGUAGCGGUAAAAUGCGUAGAUAUAUGGAGGAACACCAGUGGCGAAGGCGGUUGCCUGGCCUGUAACUGACGCUGAGGCACGAAAGCGUGGGGAGCAAAUAGGAUUAGAUACCCUAGUAGUCCACGCUGUAAACGAUGAAUACUAAGUGUUGCGGGUAUUGACCCCUGCAGUGCCGAAGCUAACGCAUUAAGUACCCCGCCUGGGGAGUACGGUCGCAAGACUAAAACUCAAAGGAAUUGACGGGGGCCCGCACAAGCGGUGGAGUAUGUGGUUUAAUUCGACGCAACGCGAAGAACCUUACCAAGGCUUGACAUCCCGUGACAAUUAUAGAAAUAUGGUCUUCUUAGUUUACUAAGACACGGAGACAGGUGGUGCAUGGUUGUCGUCAGCUCGUGUCGUGAGAUGUUGGGUUAAGUCCCGCAACGAGCGCAACCCCUACAGCUAGUUGCCAGCACACAUUAAGUUGGGCACUCUAACGAGACUGCCGGUGACAAAUCGGAGGAAGGUGGGGAUGACGUCAAAUCAUCAUGCCCCUUAUGUCUUGGGCUACACACGUACUACAAUGGCCUGAACAGAGGGAAGCAAAACUGCGAAGUUAAGCGAACCCCUUAAAACAGGUCCCAGUUCGGAUUGUAGGCUGCAACUCGCCUACAUGAAGUCGGAAUCGCUAGUAAUCGCAGGUCAGCAUACUGCGGUGAAUACGUUCCCGGGCCUUGUACACACCGCCCGUCACACCACGAAAGUCGGCAACACCCGAAGCCGGUGACUCAACCCGAAAGGGAGAGAGCCGUCGAAGGUGGGGUUGGUAAUUGGGGUGAAGUCGUAACAAGGUAACC